rnacentral:lncRNA from 1 species
CCCCCCUUCAGAGGGGGUGAUUGUGAAUGCCUUCCUAGGGAUGCUAAUCACCUCUGAAGCCACGGCUCUGGCGUUUCCAUGAUACCCAAGACUUGGCUGUGUUCCCAUCUCCCAAAGUCCUGGACAGUUUCAAGCUGCCCAUAGACUCCCGCAGCAGCUUAAACAAAGCUGGAGCAAAUACAAAACAUUCUGUUUGGCAUUCAAAGUCCUUCAUAAAAAACUGUGGGAGUAGAAACACAGAAGAAAAACAACUGCUUGAACACAUUGGUCUAUGGGGAUAUGGCUGGGGAUAUAGACUCUAAAUGAUCAUCCUAGUGCAAACAUCAACAACAUGGAAAUAGGUUCUGACCAAGGACACAUGUAAUACCCAAUGGAAUUGUGCAUCAGCUACCGGA